rnacentral:rRNA from 1 species
AUUGAACGCUGGCGGCAGGCCUAACACAUGCAAGUCGAGCGGAUCGGCGGACGGGUGAGUAAUACCUAGGAAUCUGCCUGGUAGUGGGGGAUAACGUUCGGAAACGGACGCUAAUACCGAAUACUCUCAGCUGAGCCUAAGUCGGAUUAGGUAGUGGGUGAGGUAAUGGCUCACCAUGGCUACGACCCGUAACUGGUCUGAGAGGAUGAUCAGUCACACUGGAACUGCGACAAGGCCCAGACGCCGACGGGAGGAAGCAGUGGGGAAUAUUGGACAAUGGGCGAAAGCCUGAUCCAGCCAUGCCGCGUGUGUGAAGAAGGGCUUCGGAUUGUAAAGCACUUUAAGUUGGGAGGCGUUACCGACAGAAUAAGCACCGGCUAACUCUGUGCCAGCAGCCGCGGUAAUAC